GACGAACGCUGGCGGCGUGCUUUAGGCAUGCAAGUCGAACGCGAAAGCCCCUUCGGGGGUGAGUAGAGUGGCGAACGGGUGAGUAACACGUGGGUAACCUGCCCCUCGCAGGGGGAUAACCGGGGGAAACCCCGGCUAAUACCCCGUACGCUUGCUGGGGCGCAUGCUCCGGCAAGGAAAGGUAGCUUCGGCCAUCCGGCGAGGGAGGGGCCCGCGGCCCAUUAGCUAGUUGGUGGGGUAACGGCCCACCCCGGCGACGGUGGGUAGCUGGCCUGAGAGGGUGGUCAGCCACACUGGGACUGAGACGCGGCCCAGACUCCUGCGGGGGGCAGCAGCCAGGAAUCUUGCGCAAGGGGCGAAAGCCUGACGCAGCAACGCCGCGUGGGCGAUGAAGGCCUUCGGGUCGUAAAGCCCUGUUGUCGGGGACGAAGGGCGAAGGGUUAAUAGCCUCUAGCCUGACGGUACCCGACGAGGAAGCCCCGGCUAACUACGU
rnacentral:rRNA from 1 species